rnacentral:rRNA from 1 species
UACGUAGGGUGCGAGCGUUAAUCGGAAUUACUGGGCGUAAAGCGUGCGCAGGCGGUUUGUUAAGUCUGAUGUGAAAGCCCCGGGCUCAACCUGGGAAUGGCAUUGGAAAUUGGCAAGCUUGAGUAUGGCAGAGGGGGGUGGAAUUCCGCGUGUAGCAGUGAAAUGCGUAGAGAUCGGGAGGAACAUCUGUGGCGAAGGCGGCCAUCUGGACCAGCACUGACACUGAGGCACGAAAGCGUGGGGAGCAAACAGG